rnacentral:piRNA from 1 species
UGAAUAGGAAGUCCUCAUGCACACUUUUGGU